rnacentral:tRNA from 1 species
GCCUGGGUGGCUCAGUUGGUUAAGCGUCUGACUUCAUCUCAGGUCAUGAUCUCACAGUUCGUGGGUUCGAGCCCCGCGUCGGGCU